rnacentral:ncRNA from 1 species
UUAUUGUCAGCUGUUACUUUACUUACACAUGCAAGUAUCCGCACACCCGUGAGAACGCCCUUUCCUCCUUUCUAGGAUAAGGAGCUGGUAUCAGGCACAGUUCAUCUUGCCCACAACACCUAGCUAUGCCACGCCCUCAAGGGUAUUCAGCAGUGAUAAACAUUGUUUAUAAGCGCCAGCUUGACUCAGUAAAAGUAAUUUAGAGCCGGCUAACCCGGUGCCAGCCGCCGCGGCUACACCGUCGGGCUCAAGUUGAUAGACAUCGGCGUUAAGCGUGCUUAAAGUGUAUAAACAAAUUAGAGUUAAACUACUACCAAGUCGUGACACGCUUGUUUUUAGGAAACCCAAGAACGAAAGUUAUUCUAACCAAACCACUUGAAUUCACGACAGCUAGGGAACAAACUGGGAUUAGGUACCCCACUAUGCCUAGCCGUAAAAUAUCAAUUUACAUCUUAAACCGCCAGGGAAUUACGAGCUCAAGCUUAAAACCCAAAGGACUUGACGGUGUCCCACCCACCUAGAGGAGCCUGUUCUAUAAUCGAUUCUCCCCGAUACACCUUACCCCUCUUAGCCUAUCAGCCUGUAUACCUCCGUCGUAAGCUUACCAUAUGAACGCUAAUUAGUGAGCUAAAAGAUUAAUCAUCCACACGUCAGGUCAAGGUGCAGCUCACGGAGCGGAAAGUAAUGGGCUACAAUUUCUAUAUUAGAACACACGAAAGACUACAUGCAACAAGGUCAUGAAGGCGGAUUUAGCAGUAAAAAGAAAAUAGAGAGUUCUUUUUAAUCAGGCGCUGGGACGCGUACACACCGCCCGUCACCCUCUUCAAAUGCCCCAUAAUAUGUUUUUAACACUUCCAAGCACCUCAGAAGAG